AUAUAUUUGUAGAUAGUGAUCAGCACACUCGGACUUUGAAGAUUAAAACAUACCUGAUCCUGAUGAAAGUUCCAGAUGGAACUGAAACGUUGAUCUUUUAAUGGAUAUUUAAUAAACAGUAAGUUUUAAUCUUCAAAGUCCGAGUGUGCUGAUCACUAUCUACAAAU